AUUAAAGGAAACUCCCUGAUUGACGUCAGCAUCGGUCCGCAUGUUUCCCACCUGUUACCAAUUUCGGAUCUCUUUCAAACUAUCACAGUCCUGAAGCAAAGCAAGUCUGAACUCAAAGCAAUGGAGAAAUGGAUGAAGAACGAUCCAGGGGCUCUUGAUUUUUCUCAUGUGUCCAGUAAAGCUUCUGAUCUCAAAGACAACAGUUACGGAGCGCAGGAGAUGGAUACGCAGCUGAGAUCAGCAAUCAAACAAGUCCUACCAUGUGACGUUACCAAAGAAAACAUCACCGCCCCGGUGGUCCUGAAGAAAGCAGAUUGUGUUGUCUCUGCAUGGAUGCUUGGGCCAGUUAGUACAGACCAAACUUCUUACAUGAAUAACGUGAAGAAACUCGUCUCAUUGCUGAAACCAGGAGGGAGAAUGGUUAUCUUUGGAACUUUCAAUUCUGGUUUCUUCAGGUCUGCGGGCAAGAAGUAUCCCAUAUUAAAGUAUGAUGAAAACACUGUGAGGACGGCUCUUACAGAUGCUGGGUGCAGUGUUCAAAGUAUAGAUAUAAAGGAGAGUAAAAUGCCUAAUAAUACCUGCGAUAAUACGCACAUAUUUUGUGCACUGGCUAUUAAAGGGGGUGCUUAGCAAAUGAAUUAACAUUAAGAUGAAUGAGCCACAAACAUGCUAGCUUUGCUUUUUGCUUGAGAUAUUAGGCUGAAUGACCAAAUAAAUAUAUUAUCAUACUUA